AUACGGAGGACGCGAGCGUUAUCCGGAUUCAUUGGGUUUAAAGGGUGCGCAGGCGGCCGUGCAAGUCAGCGGUGAAAGCCCGGGGCUCAACCCCGGAAGUGCCGUUGAUACUGCGUGGCUGGAAUGCGGUCGAGGCGGGCGGAACGUGGCGUGUAGCGGUGAAAAGCGUAGAUAUGCCACAGAACGCCGAUAGCGGAGGCAGCUGGCCAGGCCUGCAUUGACGCUCGGGCACGAAAGCGUGGGGAUCGAACAGGAUUAGAUACCCUGGUAGUCCACGCCGUAAACGAUGGGCGCUCGUCGUCGGCGACAGACAGUCGGCGGCCAAGCGAAAGCGAUAAGCGCCCCACCUGGGGAGUACGGUCGCAAGGCUGAAACUCAAAGGAAUUGGCGGGG
rnacentral:rRNA from 1 species